rnacentral:rRNA from 1 species
ACGGCGAGUGAAGCGGCAAAAGCUCAAAUUUGAAAUCUAGUACCUUCGGUGCUCGAGUUGUAAUUUGUAGAGGGAUACUUUGGGGCCGUUCCUUGUCUAUGUUCCUUGGAACAGGACGUCAUAGAGGGUGAGAAUCCCGUGUGGCGAGGAGUGCGGUUCUAUGUAAAGUGCCUUCGAAGAGUCGAGUUGUUUGGGAAUGCAGCUCUAAGUGGGUGGUAAAUUCCAUCUAAAGCUAAAUAUUGGCGAGAGACCGAUAGCGAACAAGUACAGUGAUGGAAAGAUGAAAAGAACUUUGAAAAGAGAGUGAAAAAGUACGUGAAAUUGUUGAAAGGGAAGGGCAUUUGAUCAGACAUGGUGUUUUGCGCCCUCUGCUCCUUGUGGGUGGGGGACUCUCGCAGCUCACUGGGCCAACAUCAGUUUUGGUGGUCGGACAAAUCCGUAGGAAUGUAGCUUACCUCGGUAAGUGUUAUAGCCUGCGGGAAUACGGCCAGCCGGGACUGAGGACUGCGACUUUUGUCAAGGAUGUUGGCAUAAUGGUUAUAUGCCGCCCGUCUUGAA